UACAGAGGUCUCAAGCGUUGUCCGGAUUUAUUGGGCGUAAAGAGCUCGUAGGCGGUUCGGUAAGUCGGGUGUGAAACCUCCAGGCUCAACCUGGAGACGCCACCCGAUACUGCUGUGACUCGAGUCCGGUAGGGGAGCGUGGAAUUCCUGGUGUAGCGGUGAAAUGCGCAGAUAUCAGGAGGAACACCAGCGGCGAAGGCGGCGCUCUGGGCCGGUACUGACGCUGAGGAGCGAAAGCGUGGGUAGCAAACAGG
rnacentral:rRNA from 1 species